AGGUUCUUUUCAGUAUCCAGACACUGGAAUAGGCAGUGAAACAGUUUUUAACUUUGUGGCCCUCUGUGGAGAAAUACAUUGGAAAUUACAUUACUCUGGAGUGCUUUGCCUUGAAUAAAAUUACUUGCUUCAACUUUGGGAGGGGGUGGAGGGGGAAACAUUGUGGAGAGACUUUUUUCCCAACUGGCUCUAGUAAGGAAUGCUAUAGCUCAGGACCUGAGCACUCUGGAUUCAGCACAGACCAACAAGGUAGUUAACAGCAAACAGAAGGUCCUGAAAUGUCCCCUAGGCUGUGACAGGGGCAUCAGAGGAGCAGAGUCAAAGCUGGGCCAUCUGCACAUGAAUAAAACUUCUAUUUGUACCUAAGGGUCUGCAGAAUGAAAGGCUGAAAGUAGCAAGGGGAAACAGCUGCAGCAUUUUGCAGUUGCAAUUUUGCAACUGGUAGCUGCAAGCAGUUGAGUUGGAAAGAUAAAGUUGCAUUUUGCUCAGAAUCAGUGGUGUAGUGCUCCUUCUCCUUUUUUUUUUUUUUUUUUUUUUUUUGGUUUGGUGGUUUUUUUCCUUACCUGCCUGCCUUAAACUCUCUCUCUAUUACAACAGUGCUGUGCAGAGUUAGAGUCUGGCUCCGCUCUGCUGCCCACAUUAGCUGAACACGUAAAAGGGAAGCAGCUCCACUGCUCCAAAAGACCAUGGAAUGAAGGACCCACCUCAUGCUCUGACUUUCCCUGGGCACUGCCCUCGGGUGCUUCACACUGGCACAACUCCCCUCUGCUAGAUGCUCUGAGCUUGGAGACCUGCUGCCCAAAUAACCCUCCUGGGCACAGCCGGGACCAGCCUUGCAGGCAGAGCUCUGGCAGCUGCACCUUGGAGAGGUAUGAUGUGGGACACCUGUCCAGCUCAGAUGUGACAUCAGGAGAAUGCAGGUGGAAAAUAUGCUCUGCUGAUGACUACACUGAUGCAG
rnacentral:lncRNA from 1 species